AUACCGACACCUUUUAUAUAGGUGAGCGAGUCAGAGGCUUCUGACAUGUCCAAUUUAGCAGUUCUCUGGUAUUAUAGCAAUAUUUUACUAGAAAUAGUGCUAAAGCAGACAUAUUUCACGGGAGCGACACGGCUGAGCCCAGAAAAAAGGGUUUUCAAAAUUAGAAUUAGCAAAGUAGUAUGUCAUUUUGAAUUGAGAUUAGUUGGAAAUAGGGAUAAAUAUUUGAGUUGACCAUUUUCAUGAACCUGUGGAAUAUACAUUGUUAGAAACAGCACAUAGCUCUUUCCACAGAAAAUAAUAUUAAUCUUUACAAAACUUAGAUUACCUGCCUUGUCUGACUAUUAAUCUUAUGAUUAUUCUAGAAUUUGAUGCAAUUAUAACAGGUACAAGUGAAGCUAUAUGGACCAUAUAAUAGAACCAUAUAUGGGAAUGAAGUUUUAAUGACAAUUGUGGAUCCAUUUUCAAAGUGGAUUGUUGCUCAGCCAAGUCCGGAAGCUGGAGUGGAAGUUCGAUGUGCCAAUUUUAUUUUUGAAACAUUUUGCCAAUUUGGAUUUGCUCAGUGUCAUGUCAUAGGUAUGAGUUCCGAGAGUUUUGAACAUAUGCAAGCCUGUUACAAGGAGAGAUUUGAUGGGACGCAGGAUGUUCUUCGAUCUCUAGUGCCAUUUGAUUCUGAAGAUGCUCAACAAAGCUUCCUGUUUACAUUACAAGAAGAAUCUAGGGAAUGUGCCUGGGCAGGGAAUAUUUUUGAUCAAAUAUGUACCGAAAUGCCAACACAUGGGACCAAGA